rnacentral:rRNA from 1 species
UACGAAGGGGGCUAGCGUUGUUCGGAAUUACUGGGCGUAAAGGGCGCGUAGGCGGUACUUCAAGUCAGGCGUGAAGCCCCGGGCUCAACCUGGGAACCGCGCUUGAGACUGGAGAACUAGAGUUCGGGAGAGGAUGGUGGAAUUCCCAGUGUAGAGGUGAAAUUCGUAGAUAUUGGGAAGAACACCGAUGGCGAAGGGCAGCC